rnacentral:rRNA from 1 species
CCUACGGGAGGCUGCAGUGGGGAAUAUUGGACAAUGGGGGCAACCCUGAUCCAGCCAUGCCGCGUGUGUGAAGAAGUCCCUCGGGUUGUAAAGCACUUUCAGUGAGGAAGAACGCCUGGUGGUUAAUACCCAUCAGGAAAGACAUCACUCACAGAAGAAGCACCGGCUAACUCCGUGCCAGCAGCCGCGGUAAUACGGAGGGUGCGAGCGUUAAUCGGAAUUACUGGGCGUAAAGCGCGCGUAGGUGGCUUGAUAAGCCGGUUGUGAAAGCCCCGGGCUCAACCUGGGAACGGCAUCCGGAACUGUCAAGCUAGAGUGCAGGAGAGGAAGGUAGAAUUCCCGGUGUAGCGGUGAAAUGCGUAGAGAUCGGGAGGAAUACCAGUGGCGAAGGCGGCCUUCUGGACUGACACUGACACUGAGGUGCGAAAGCGUGGGUAGCAAACAGGAUUAGAUACCCGAGUAGUA